GCGGGGAGCCGAAGGUUGGUCGGGUGGAAGUCUCGCCGACAAGUGUCAAGGGUGACCCGGGCUACUUUGUUUCAAGUAAGGUUAAACUGUAGCCACCGUGUGAGGUUACCUAGGUUCGCUUCUUCAGUUCAGGAGUAAACAAACAAAACGGAUCUCAUUUUGUAUCUCCCAACUCUGCUGUUAUUUGGACGCCAUAGCAGUGGUUAGCCUCCUUCCUGUCCCACCAUGGUUUCCCAGGGACUUUGGAUUGAAGGAAGGAAGCAGUAACCCCACGAAAUGGUUGUCUGUGUCCUCCAGUGCUUGGGGUCAGGGCCACUGACUAAUUCUCCUAGGACGUUUUAAUUUGGAGUGUUCUCUUCAGUGGUAAGGGUUUGGCUUCUAGAGUCUCCGUAGAACGUCUGUAGUCCUUGGAUUUAUCUGGAAUUGACCUCGUUUCAGGGGGUCUUUUCUUGAUUUAAACCCCUUUGCCUCACACAAAAAAUAUCAGUAGCCUGUCACUUGGUAAAUACAUCUUUAUGUAUAAAGUCCAAUUUAACCAACUAAACUACUCCUUCAGGAAUUUGUGUGUAAUUCAUCUAAGUCAGCCAACUCAUUAUUCUGGAGUAAUUUUAGAGGAUAGUAGAACAUUAUUUAAAGAAAUUGAUUUAAAUUUUAGAAAGUUAUGUAUUACUCAUAUUUGAGAGGUGGAUCUUUCUGUGUUGUCCAGACUGGCCUUAAAUUCCUGGAAUCAAAUGAUCCUCCAGCCUCAGCCUCCCAUAAAGUUGGAACUGCAGUGGCAAACGCCACUCCAGAUCUGUCUUAAAGAAUUUUAUUUAUAACUAUCUACCCUUUCCAGAGAUGUGCUACUGAAAUCCAACACGAUAUACUAUGAAAUAUUUGCAAGACUAGAAUACACCAUGUCAGAUUGAUGAUAAAGUUGGGUUUCUGAACAUAGAGAACCUAAAAUUUAAGGACCAAUUGUAACAUAUAGAAAAGAGUAUUUAAUGUAAUGUGAUAGAAAAUUAAAACUGAUUUGUCUAGCAUGCAGUCACUCAUACACACAAACUUGCCUUUGACUCCAAUCAUAAACUUCGUCUAAUGUACUUGAUUAGAGAUAAACUACAUAAUAACUUCCUGUAGGAAACCUAUCUAUCAAGAAAUGUGGCCGGCAAAGAGUUGGCUUGUCAUGGAGAGAUCAGUACCGGAACUGUGUGCUUUUAGGAGUCAUUAGUGAAAGUGAAAAUUGAAGGAGACAGUCGAGCUAGGCAUACAUCCCAAUGGUAUAUUAAACAAGUGUAUGUGAGGCCCUGGGUUUCACCCCCAGCACUACAAAGAAACAGGAGCAAAAUCUCUUUGCAAACAAUAGUGUUACCAUAAAUGGGGGAAAUAUAUACUUUUGGAAACUUUGACAUUUCCAUUUUGUGUCUAUAUCAUGCCUAUGAAUGUAGUUUAAUGGAGUCAGUCACAUGAAUUUAAGGUUAUUAUUUUAGCUUCUGCCAGAUUCAACUUACUAAAUUCCAGUCAAUAUAAUUUAAUGUUCCUCUAUUAAAAAAUGCAUUUAGGAAUUCCAGAAGCUUUAUUGUCACACGUGAGUUUUCCUACUAUAACUCCAUCAAGUUUUUUAAAGGUUCCCCUUAAGACUUGGGGUCUUGAGCUAGCUGGAAUGUAAAGGAACACAGAUCUAGAAGUGUUUCAGAACUGGGCUAAUGCAGGGUUUGGGAGCUAUGAAACCUUUUACAAUCCAUUUGGUAUGAUCCAGGGACCCAGUGUGGUGAUAUAUUGUGUCCCCUAAUAUAUUGUGCAUCCUAAUAAACUUAGCUGGGGUCAGAGGACAGAACAGCCACUAGAUAGACAUAGAGGCCAGAAAAUGGUGGCACACACACCUUUAAUCCUAGCAUCCUUGAGGCAGAGAUCCAUCUGGAUCUCUGUGAGUUCAAAGCCACACUGGAAACAGCCAGGCAUGGUGACACACACCUUUAAUCCCAGGGAGUGAUGGCAAGAAGCAGAAAGGUAUAUAAGGCGUGAGGACCAGGAACUAGAACUUUUAGGCUUUUGAGUAGCAGUUCAGCUGAGAUCCAUUCGGAUGAGGACAUGGAGGCUUUCAGUUUGAGGAAACGAGAUCAGCUGAGGAAUUGGCGAGGUGAGGUUAGCUGUGGCUGGUUCUGUUUCUCUGAUCUUUCAGUGUUCACCCCAAUACCUGGCUCCGGGUUUGUUUUUAUUAAUAAGACCUUUUAGGAUUCAUGCUACAACCCAGGAUGUUGGACACUCAUAUAGUGACCAAAGUAGAAGUCUCUGGGACACUGAAUAGAAUUCCUUAUCUGUCAACCAUAAAACUUAAAGAUGUGGACUCUCAUGGGACUGUGCAGAGCAGAUUCAACUUUAUUGAGAAGAUUUAUAGAAAAGUGAUAAAUUAAGUGAGAGAAAUCUCCAAGAGUAGGAGGGGCUUGAAGAGAGGGGAAAAAAAUCAUGGAACUCCUUUGUCGAGAGGUUUUCAUAGGGCCAUGGCUGAGUCUGGACAAAGGCUGAAGUAAUCUCUACUGAAAUUGGCUAAUCUGUGUUGUCAUGGGCUGAAAAAAUACAAGAAUCACAAACUAUGUGCAUGCCCAGCCUGCCCAGCCAGGAAGAUGUUCACGAGCUCUUCACGUGGUGCUUACUCAGUUAGAGGUGGUUGAAACUCCCCUCUAUGGGUCUCUUCCUCCAACUUUGUUAGCUAUUGACUGGUAACUAUUAGUCAUUUGGUCAGUGUUAAUACCAUCUGACCUUGCAGGUGUUUCCAGUGCCAUUAAUUCAACUAAGCUUCCUUUGUCCUCACAAUGAAGUGACCAGCUUAUAGUUUUACUGUGGCAGAGACUUAGCUCUAUCACAGCCACCAAGCUUCAGUAGCUUUGGUCUUUCUCGUGUUCAGUUCCUCAUCUAUGGGGUAGUCUGAGGUCUCUGAGGUAGAAGUGUUUUUAUUGGAAGCAAUCCUUAAAAUUUAGUCUGUUACAGUUAGCCACAUAACAAGCAAGAAUGUAAGAGAGAUCGAUGGUGGCUUUACAUAUGUCCCUCAAGGGUUUGAGGGAUGUCUUCAUUUGCUUCUAUUGCUCUGAUAAAGAUCAUGACCAAAUGCAAGCUGGGAAGGAAAGGGUUUAUUUGGCUUACAUAUUCCAAGUCACAGUCUGUUGAGGGAAACCAAGAUAGGAACACCAAGGUAUGAACCUUAAGGCAGAAAGUGAAACAAAGACCAUGGAAGAAGCUGCUUACUGGCUUGCUCCUCACAGUUUGCUUAGCCUCUUUCUUACACAACCCAGGACCACCAACCCAGAGGUGGCAUUACCCCCAAUGGGCUGUGCCCUCCAAAAUCAAUUAUUAAUCAAUAAAAUGGCCCACAGGCUUGAAUACAGGCCAGUCUGAUGGGGGCAUUUUCUCAGUAAUGGUUCCCUCUUCUCAAAUGACUCAAACUUGUAUCAAGUUGACAAGGAACCAGCCAGGACAGGGUGAAGGGGGAGGGGAGACUGGUCUGCUUUCAGUGUUCCAGAACCCCUUGUCCCUCAUCUGUCUAGUCUGCUUAUUUCACAUCCAACUAUAAGACUUCCUAAUAAUCAUCCUCAGUGUUUCAGACCUUGCCUGUUAAUCUUCAAUCUUCCUUCUAAUCCCAGCCUCUGCUCUCAGUAUAACAAGUGUGAGCACCUUGCAGUUUUCACCAUGGGACCUCAUCAUUCACCACUAACAUCCUUUACUACUAUCAUUUACUACCUAAUACCUAAUACUGCUAGCUACUGCAUUAGGGUCAUUAGUCCAAAGCAUACGCUAUUGCUUUUAAAAGAUAUGCUUUUAAAAAUGCCAUAGUUUAGGGGUAAAUUAUAAAUUAGCCAAAUACAAGGCAAAGUACUCCAAGAAGAAAUCUAUACCUGAUUGAAAAAUAAACAAAAAUAAAAAUGUGCACGUAUAAUUUUAGAGACUAUUAGGAGGCGUCAAAUAACUUUAACUCAAGUGAACAGAAACAUAAGAGACAGAUAUUUAAAUUGAGGGAUAGUUGUGAAGUGGAGUCUAGUUUCAUGAGUCUAUUUUAUGUCAUUUCUCCUAUACCAUUUCUAGGCAGUAAUGGACACUUUAAGUUUAAGCUGUUGUAGAAGAGGCUAUAGAAAACAUCGUAACUGUCAUAUAAUCAAAUGUUUAUAAAAAUCAAUUUGAGGUCUGUUUUUAAUGAAAUAAAAAACGUGUUACAUGUUUCUCAGGGCACUGAAAUGAUGUUGUGUUUUUAUUUUGCCUAAUUCAUGUCAUGGGGAGAAGUAAGCAUGCUACUCAUUUUUGAGAGCACACAGUUUAAAAUGAAUUGUAUUCGUUCAGUGCACUCAUCGGGUAUCUGAUGAGCCCUUCGCAGGUGCCAGGCAGGCCCAGGAAUAGGCACUAGGGAUCCAGUAGUGAAAUUAAAGAAGGUGAGAUUUGUGAGCUGGUGAGAGAAAAAGUUAAUAAUCACAAUAAAGCACAGCACAUGGGUAAGGGGAAUACCUCAUGGCAGAGUGGCACCAUGUAUAAAAGCCAGUGCCUUUGUGCAGGAGGAGAGGCCUGGAGUGGUAAGGAUGUUUCAAUGAGCAAAGUGGGGGUUACAAAGAAAUGGGAUGGUGGCGUCUCACACACAGGGUUUGCUAGAUGAAAAGUUCUUGGAAGAAGCACAUAAGAUCUCUCCCGCUUUGAGUGGCAAAAUUGUGCAGAUGAAGAAAGCAGGAAAAGCAGGGAGGGGUUAGGUGGUCUAGCAAACCAGGCUCUGAGCUUGGGGUCAGGCGACAGGGUCUCCACUUUCGCUUGUGAGACACUGAGACAUUGGGAUGGCCAAUCACAGGCUGGAGCUCUGUCUUGUUGAGAUGUAAUCUCUGAUGCAAUGUUACCACUCUACCCAGCAUUCCUUCAUCAACUCCUGUUUCCUUUCUUAGUUGUUUGAGACAGAAUCUUACUACACUGUCUGGGGCUCCUGGGCUCAAGCCCUUCUGCCCUCCGAGAUCUUAGGGUGGCUUGAAUCGAUUACAGGUGUUCAGCAUUCACCCCUGCCAGGCCUGAUUUCAGGUGGAUCAUGUGUCAGAACAUUCUGGUGUUUUGCAGGCCAGAUUAUGGUUCAAAACCACUGUUUGGCAUAUCAAGUGUUGCCUUACCAUCCUGAAACCUAAAGAACCGCUUUCCUUCUCCUGCAGCACAUACUUUAUAGACAUUUGUACAUCGCCCACCAGCAAAUCACUUACGGAUAAAGUUACAAGCAGCAGAAACAUGAGAAGUUUACCAACUCACGCAUUUGUUUCUUGUGAAUGCCGUGCCCAGUGUGACCGCUCACAGUGUACCCCCUGGAAUUAAGUCCACAACUGGCAAUGGCAGACACUGAGGCCAGCUGACUUAAAAUAAUCAGGAUGAGAAGGAGAGAAGCUGGCAUUUCCUGAACACGUACGGCAGGACGAGGGUAUCACUAUGUCAUCUUGGCUGACCUGGAAUGCUGGCCUUGACCAUGGAACUUAGAGAUCUGCCUGCUUCUGUCUCUAGAGUGCUGAGAUGAAAGGUAUGCUCCACUACACCUGGCUCCUCCUUUUAUUAUUUAUUCAUUUGUUUUUUAUUUAUUUAUUUAUUUAGUUGUAUGUGCAUUGGUGUUUUGCCUGCAUAUGUGUCUGUAUGAGGGUGUGGGAACUCCUGGAACUGGAGUUACAGACAGUUUUGAACUGUCAUGUGGGUGCCAGGAAUUGAACUGUAGGUCCUCUGGAACAGCAGCCAGUGCUCUUAACUGCUGAGCCAUCUCUCCAGCCUCAUGACAUCAGAAUUUAAAGAAUUAACAUUCAAUUAAAUGAUUCCCAGCAAUAUCUUGCUAUGCUUGUAAACUGGAGCCUAGCAUAAUCAUCAUCAGAGAGUCUUCAUUCAGCAACUGAUGGUAGUAGAUGGAGAGACCCACAGCCACACAUUACGCUGAACCCAGAGAAUCCUGGAGAAGACAGAAUCCUGGAGAAUACAAUUCUGGAGAAAGGAUUGUAGGAGCUGGGAGUAGGGGAUCAAGACACCACAGGAAAUAGGCCCACAGAAUCAACUAACCUGGGCUCAUAGGAAUUCACAGAGACUCCACAGACAAUAAGGGAGCCUGUGUGGGUCUGACCUGACCUAUGUCCUCUGCAUGUUAUGGUUGUGCAGCUCGGUGUUCUUGUGGGACUCCUAACAGUAAGAGUGGGGCCUGUCUCUGACUCUUGCCUGUUUUGGGGACCUUUUUCCUCCUACUAGGUGGCUUCAUCCAGCCUUAAUAUGAAGGGAUGUGCCUAGUUUUAUUAUAACUUGACAUGCCAUGUUUGAUUGGUAUCCCUGGGAGGCCUGCCCUUUUCUGAAGGGAAAGGAGGAGUAGAUGUGAGAGAGAAGGGAUGAGGUGGGGGAUUCAGGGAGAGAAGGAGGGAGAGGGAACCUCACUUGGGAUGCAGUAUAUGAGAGAAGAAUAAAUAAUUUAAAAUCAAUAUUCAAUUAUAUGCAUUUGACAAGGAAGAAAAAAGAUAGAGGGAAUUUUUUUUCAAAUUUUCAGGUUUUUUUUUUCAGUUUUCAUUCAAUAAGCAGAUGCUCUGGCAUAAAUAUUAAGGAGAAAUGUGUUUCAAUGGCUCUUUAAGCAAAAACAUCUCUAUGAAAUGAGUAUAAUUACAGUAUUUUGAAAUGUAUAUUUUUCUUUUUGAGAUACAAUAUCAUGUCCUGCAAGGCUAGCCUUAAAGAGCUUGUUUUGUUACCAAGGAUGGUCCCGAUAUCCUGAUGACCCUGCCUCUUCCAAAUACUAGGAUUACAGGCGUGUACCACGUUUAGACUUGAAAUUUAUGUAUUUGUACAAAUAUUCCUGUGGCAUCGGUCAACCAUUGUACUUUUUCGACUGCUCAGUUGAAGAGGCAGUAUUUGUUUUCAAAGCUGGGUGGGGGAGCACUGGCUGUCUGAGAGCUAUUGGGAAACACUGAGCCUCGGUUGCAAGUAGCAGCUUCCUGAGGAAUUUUCCAGGACACAUUCUACAGUCCUUUUAUUUUGAAACCACUUUAGACUCAUAGAAGUUGCAAAAAUGGCCAAGUAGUUCAUAAUGUUGUUUUCUAUUCUUUGUUGGGUUUUCCCUAGUGUUUACAAGUUUAACCAUAACAUAACUACCAAAACCCAGGAGAGAACACUGAGGUAGAAUUGUGAAGUAGAUAGCAGGCCUUGUUCUCACUCAUUGGCUUUUCCUGAACUUCAUCUUUCCGUCCUAAGAUCUGAUCCAGGGUCCAGAUUUCAAUGAAGUCAUCACAUUUUUAAAAAUCUUCUCUAAUCUAGGAUAAAUCUCUCUUCUUCUGCCUGUUGUGACUUUGAUCUGUGGUUCCGUGAAGGUAAAGAAAUUAAAUCAACUCAAUAUAUUUUUUGUCUUCCUUAUUAGUUUCUCAAAUAUUUCUGUGUAAACAAAAGUCCAGGAUAUUUUCUGAAGUAGCUUAUCUAUUAUUUUGACAUUACGUAAGUGAUUGUAGCAGAAAGUAUUACUAGGUGGGGUUAAACUGCCUCAGCAAUACUUCAGAUAGCAAGCUACCCCUAUUCUUCAAUAGGUAGUACCUUCCAAAAAGAACCAUUUCACAUACUUGCAGAAUUUCUUGGUAGUACUUGAUAUCUAACACCUCAGAGGGAUAGGAGACAUAGCAUUUCUACAUUCAAGUCCUGAUUACCAUUCAUUUCCCAAGAGCCUUUCUGGCUUUUGUACAGAAGAAAAACAAGCUAACGCUUGUAAACAAUUGAGAAUGAUUUCAUGUUGAAACUUUUUAAAUGAUUUCAACAGUAACACUCGCUUAGUGUCAGUAUGUUUUAAAUCCUUCAGCCAUAAACAUUAAAUGUUCAUAAACUGGAAUGUAAUAGCUUUUAUGGAUUUUAAAGCAUGAUGAUGGAAAUAAGAACGAACAGGCUCUGCUGGUAAAAUGCUUACUGAGCAAGCAUGAGGACCUGAAUUCAGAUUCCCCAGCAACCACAGAAAAGCCAGGUGUGAAACUGCUCAACCGUAAUACCAGCAUCAAGGAGGCAGACACAAGAGAAUCCCUGAGCCUCCCUGACCAAUCAGGACAGCUGGCUCAACAAGCUUUAGACUCAGUGAGAGACCUUCAGAAAAUAAGGCCUAGAGCAGUAGAGGAAGACACCAGUGUCAACGUUGGGCCUUGACAUAAGCAUGCAUGGGUGAGCACACCUGCACACUCACACACUCAUAUACAUAUGUUUUAUACAGAGAGAGAGAGAGAGAGAGAGAGAGAGAGAGAGAGAGAGAGAGAGAGAAAGAGAAUGAACAGUUGAGACUAGGAAGCUUAACUGUUUUUAAAUGGUGGUUAUCACUUUAUGUAUAAUUUGACUAACAUAAAAAGGCAAAAACUUUUCAUGCACUUUUGAAUACUACUAGCAGCGUAUGUGUGUAUGUGUGAUCCUCUGAGGAUUAUUUUUUUUUUGUAAAGGUUAAAGAGUGUGGUUUAUUUAGGUUCUGAUUUUUGUGAUUACCGUCCUCCUCCUUUUUGGUGGCAGUUGGGGUACUGCUUUGAGUUGUACUGCCUUGCUUUGUAGCUCAGUUUGACUUGGAACUCACUGUGUAGCCCUGGCUGGCCCCAAACCUCUGAUCUCCCUGCUGUGGCCUCCUAACUGCUGGGGAUUCAAGUAUGUACUACCUGGCAAAAGUCGACUUUUAUUUUAGCUUAUGCUUAGAGAAGAGCUACAAAAUAAUAGAAUUAUCGUAAAACCUGAUUACCCCUUUUUAUUUUGUUAACAUCUUGUAUCACUGUGAUAUAUAGCUUAAAACUAAGUAACCAACAUAAAUGCAACAUUGAUUUUUUUUUUUACUAUAAACCUGAGAUUUCAUUGGCUUCUUCCGUUAAUGCCCUUUGUGACCUCCAGAAUCUAACCCAGAAUGCAUUUACUUUCAAUAUUUACCUUGGAAUGAAUGUUGGGUAAUUUCUCUCAGUUUGACUUUAUGUGAUCUUUAUAAACUGAUUGAAGUUGGGAGUUUUUGUUCAGAGUUCCACAGAAUCAAUGCUGGGCUAUGCUCUCCUGAGUGCUGUCUUUCAUGAGGUGGUGUCCACAUGACCACUAGGUAAGGAUACUGCCUGUGGGCUCCCUGCCUUUCAUGGUGCCAUAUCCACACUGUCAUUUGGUGAAGAUGGUGCCUGUGGACUCCCUCCCUUUCAUGGUGCCAUAUCCACACUGUCAUUUGGUGAAGAUGUCUGUGGACUCCCUCCCUUUCAUGGUGCCAUAUCCACACUGUCAUUUGGUGAAGAUGUCUGUGGACUCCCUCCCUUUCAUGGUGCGAUAUCCACACUGUCAUUUGGUGAAGAUGUCUGUGGACUCCUUCCCUUUCAUGGUUCCAUAUCCACACUGUCAUUUGGUGAAAAUGGUGCCUGUGGGCUUUCCCAUUAUGGUGCUCCGUUGUUCCCUUCUUUUCCAGCAUUUAUUCUUUGUCAAACAGUCACUAAAACUAGUCAGCAAAGGAGAGCAGAUGGAAGUCAUUUCCUGAAGCAGGACUUAGCUACAUACAUUGCUUAGAAUUCAUAUGGAAGAAAAAUUUGUCUCAGGAGAACUUUUAAAAGUUAGUUCCAGAAUUAUCGGGUAUACACAGAGAGACACUGUCUCAAAAGAAUAAAACAGCAAUGAUGAUGAUCUAACAUUAUCCAGGUAUCCAAUUCUUUCAUUGAUGCAUAAACAGAACUAACUACUGCAUAUGUUUUUGAUGGGUUCUGAUAAUGUACAAAACAUGUGAGGCAUCCACAUAAAACAGUUUAUUUUCCAUGGGAGAAAAAGGUUAAAAACAAGGCAGCAAUAAAUAAUGAAGGUAAUUACAUAUCAUUAUGAGUACAGUGACUCAAACUGCAAUGUGUGAGAUAUUAUGAUAACUCUGGGGGAGAUCUGAGAGAUCACAAUUUCAUGAGGUCAGCCUGAGAUGCUGAUUUCUAAAAGAGAAUUUAGAAAAACAGAACAAGCUGAUUUUUCUUUUUUUGAAACUACAGCAUA